rnacentral:rRNA from 1 species
GCCCAGACUCCUACGGGAGGCAGCAGUGGGGAAUAUUGCACAAUGGGGGAAACCCUGAUGCAGCGACGCCGCGUGAGUGAAGAAGUAUCUCGGUACGUAAAGCUAUAUCAGCAGGGAAGAAAAUGACGGUACCUGACUAAGAAGCCCCGGCUAACUACGUGCCAGCAGCCGCGGUAAUACGUAGGGGGCAAGCGUUAUCCGGAUUCACUGGGUGUAAAGGGAGCGUAGACGGCCAUGCAAGCCAGGGGUGAAAGCCCGGGGCCCAACCCCGGGACUGCCCUUGGAACUGCAUGGCUGGAGUGCGGGAGGGGAAGGCGGAAUUCCUGGUGUAGCGGUGAAAUGCGUAGAUAUCAGGAGGAACACCGGCGGCGAAGGCGGCCUGCUGGACCGCGAAUGACGUUGAGGCUCGAAAGCGUGGGGAGCGGACAGGAUUAGAUGCCCUGGUA